ACAGAGCAGAGACACAGAAAGCUCAGAAGCUCACAUUGACCCAGGAGUACUUUCUAUGGUAGAUGGUAAUAGCAGACAGCAGCCUGCAGAUCCAGAUCCAGACCAAGUUAACUUCCCGGCCCGCAGCAGACGGGUCCUGCAGCGGCUGCUCGGCUCCGUUGUUUGCCUUCAAAGCAGACGCUGCCAGCUAAAAAGAGCGCGAGCCCGGCCAGCGCUAUCUGCCGGAUCUGUUUGAACAAGAACAAUCUUGGCAGCGGCUUGUUUGUCCAGAGUAAUCCUCUGUAAUCUGGGAGCAGUUCCACACAAGCCUGGUCCUGAACGCAGGCAGCGCAUUCCCCUGAAAAAACCCAGACCAACCCGAAGGAGAACAGAACCAGCGGCGCUCUGGACCGGCCGGACCGCACGACCCGAGCCGAAGGGAGACGGAUGUUGACUUCACUGCUCAGUGCAACCAUCCCUAACUGUGGUUAUUAGACGGCGCUGGGCAGAGCAGCAACCGCUGCAACCGAAGCAAUAGUCCCGCCGGCUCAGAGUGGUUCUGCUGCCGUAAACGUUGGGUUUUUCCUGCAACAUGGAAAGUUCUCCUGACUCAGUCCUGCCAUGCAUGGAGCUGCUUCAGGGACGGACGGCUGCAUCCGGCGUGCACAAAGCAGCGUCGUCACAGAUCCUUCCCCCCUGCAGCUGUUGGACUUUAGAAACAUUCCCGCUCCCAAAAAACUCAAUAAGUUCUUUACAUUCCAGCUGCUUUCUGCACUUUUCCUCUGGAUAAUCUGUUGUUGUUUUAUGCACAAAUAUAAACUGACAUAUUUACAUCACCCCAAUCAGAGUACGCCAUUUCUGAUAGCUGCACAGUAUUUAUUUCUGUAAAGCCGCCCUUACUGGACAAACUCUUAUUCUGGUUCUACCUUCUUGGGGGGCAAUAAAGGAGAUUUCUAUUCAGUUCAGUCUAGAAUAAAUUGUCUGAGUAAUCUCCACAUCCUUGGUGUUUGAAACGCCAAACUAAUGGCACUUUCUCCCAUUUACAUGAAUAAAUGGCCACACAACACCAUAAACCCAAUAAUCGUCUUCCAACUGUUAUAAACUGCUUUAAAGUCAUUAAAACUGGUAGAAACAGGCGGGGAAAGUCUUAUAAUCUUCCCAUUUGAGUUUUAAAACGCAGAUUAAAGGUUCCACAGAUCACCAACAAGCUUUUAAAGAGGAAUUGCCCAAUCCAACCUGGACUGGGUAUUGCUGAUUCAGCAACGGUCCAGAUCCAGGGACAGCAGCAGCUCAGGCUGCCUUUAGGGACGUUUAUUCCCGGGGAACCAGGAAAUCUGGAGGACAAACCCGCUGAUUUUUACCGGAGCCGGGACCAGAGCCGGCCCCGGCUCGCUUUAAAGCCGUGAAACGGGCCUUUAUUCGGGAACUUCACGCCCAAACUUGCCGCUCCUACCUCCCAUUGGAAGAGUUUCCUGCGGUCCUGCCGUCUUGUUCGGCCUCGAUAACGAGCCGGGUCACGGUCCGGGAGGCGAUGCUGAAAUCCACUUUCUCGCAGGAACACAUCAACAUUGUCGGACGGGAAUCGGAGCAGCGGCGGCGGAGGGGGAGGCAUCUACCGGCGGCGGCGGCGGCUAACGGCUCCUAGCCCGCUAACGGCUGCUCCCCGCGGACCCCCGGAGGCCCGACGGUCCGAUCAGCAGCGCCGCUUCCCAGCCAGCAGACACAGCGCCGUCCCGGCGUCCUCCAUCUCGGCCCGGUUAUCCAGAAACACGGUUAUAUCACCGAUAAACAGCCGGGUUGGGUUGGCAGCGGAGCCGAACCGACUCGGUUUAAAGAGCCGAACAAAAGCUCUUUUUGUCGGAAAGUAGAGAAGAAAAAAAAAAAGAACCAAGUCGGUUUAACCGGAGGACCGAACCAGGAGAGGGGGGAGUCCGCCGAACCCGACCGGGACACGGAUCAACCCAACCGGGAGAAUUAUACCGAUCACGUCAACUACGAUGAUACUUUAUGUAUAAAGAUUUAACAUUUAACGGAUAAAAAUGAUAAACUCUUCCGGAAAUGGUCCGGUCCUGCCCGUUGACCGGAAGCAACUCCCCCCUCUGAGAAACUUUUUGGUACAUUCCGGAAAAAUAACUGUACCCUAAGAUGUGGCGAUAGGAAGGAGUGUUUAUACCACACAGAUACACCGAAAACAGAUUAAAAUCAGCAACUAACCCAAUUUAUUUAACCACUCAAAAAUAAAUAUGACUUUAUUUGUCUCGA